AUGCACGCAGGUUUUUUUUGCAAAACUGCCAGAACAAAAGAUCUGCCCCCCCCCACCCGGUUGCCACCUGGUCGGAUCGAGCCACACCCGCUACGACCGAGCCCACCCGCUCCCAACCCUAGCUCACAGACUCCGUCGUCGCCGCCUCCCUCCGCCGCGUCGCCGCCGCCGCCCUCUCUCCUCAUGUCAUCUUCGAGCUCUGUUCGAUCUGGGCUACGUGGUCGCUCCGUUGUAGUUCCAUUGAUCCCGUGCCCGGAUUGUGGCGAGCAGGUCAAGUUCUACCGCUCUGGCACCGAUGAGCACGAGGGGUGGGUCUUCUAUAUGUGCACCAAACACCAGGUCACCAAUGAUUUCUGGCGUUGGGAGCUUGAAUAUGUGCAGCAUCUUGUUGAACAUAGGGUUCUUGUUGGUGAUGCUGCUGUGGAUGCAAUAGGAGCAACUGAGGAUAAAAGGGAGGAGCUUGAGAGGAAGAGGACUGAAGCAAUGAACACAAGAAGCAUAGCUGGAAGAGGCAUGGCUGGGAGAGAUGCUGGCAGAGUUGAUUUUGGGUCAUUUUGCACCCCUAGUGAGAAGAACUUUGCUACCAAGCAGCAAGUUGCUAUGCUGCUUGGAUUAGUUAGAGAAAUCCUAGUGCUGCUGAAGCUGGUGAUGGCUGUUGUUGGUGCUUUGUGUGAUGUGUUUCAUAGUAGUUAUGAACAAGUGAGAUGUAGUGAAAACAGUGAGCACACUAAGUAG
rnacentral:rRNA from 1 species